GGCAGGCUGCGAGGCGCGUUAGGAGCGCUAUUCCCCGGGCCCUAUAAGAUCUCAUGGGAGCUGACCCUGUUGGGGAUCGUGGUCUCCGGCACUCGGCGCCCCCCUACUUAUGUAGGGACACCAGGGAUCUCUGCUCCGACGGUCUCGCGGCUUUGCU
rnacentral:other from 1 species